AAUUAAGCAAUGAUGGGAAUUUAGUAGUUUUGCUAUCCCUGUUUCGAGAGAACCGGUGGGUGGUGGAAACCGGUACAAAUAGGAAAACGAAUUACAUCCCUGAGCAUUCACUGUGAACAAGGUUUAUGUGGCUCGUAGCAGUGAACGGUUGUCCGUUAGCAAAAUGAGUGGAGGAAAUUUUCCUCAAGUUGGGUGGUACCGCGAUAGAUUCGUCCCUUCG
rnacentral:ncRNA from 1 species